GGGGACGAGCGCACAGAGACACGCGGGCGACUUUGAGCAGGUGACGACGUGGCAAAGAUGGAGGACUAGUUGGCACGAGCUGCAGUGGAGCCAGCUGUUCCCUCCAACGCCGAUGCUCAGCAGUCGACUAAUAGGCGGAGGGAGUGGGGAGCUCCGUCUCCUGUCUCCUGUCUCCCAGGCUGCCUGGAGGGCCUGUAUUGAUAAUAUCCCAGCCUGCAAGGCUCAAUCCAUCCCCUGGGGCGCUCAGCGGCAAGUGGAUGAAGAGUCCCUGGACGGUCUUUUGGCUCGGCGGUGAGACGGUGCAGCAGAGGGGGAGAUCUGAACGCACCGCGAGGCAGUCUCCCCCGCUCGCACGCGCCGCCAGAAUGAGGGGCGGAGAGCGCUGAUCACAGAGGAGGCGCAGGGGUGCACGAGGCAGGAGAUGGAGAGGAGCGGGAGUGACAGCCCACGCCGCGCAGCGUUCUCCUCUCCCAUCAGAAGUGCUAAUCCAGCCGGCGGAGGUGCAGACCACCACUCACACCUGCCUGCUCCUCUCCAUCUUGUUAAGGGCCAGACGGGAGAGAAAGUGACUUCCUGCUGUACUUCCACCACAGGGCUCGUUCCCUCACAUUAAUACCUUUACUGCUCGGCUCCAUUUGUUACACACACUCAAGACACGCACUCAGGGGGCGCCCGGGGCUGUGAAUGAUGGCCGUAUGCAGAACCGUGCUCAUCUACAACCCCCUGUGGCUGGAACAAAGUACAGUAGACUCCUUGAGUGUUCGAGCCAAGGUUAAGAAUUGGAAGUGAUGCAGUGGACUGAUUCUGCAGCGCCGCGAACGGGACGGGUCCAUAAAGGAAUCCACGCUGGGCCACUGUCAGGGCGAGACAGGAAUCCUGGCUCCGCGCUCCCGUCUCUGAGGCGAGUGGCUGGUCGGUGUCACCUGUCCAUCAGCGCUCACACGUAUCAGCCUGUGAGAUUUUGUCAAAACAACUGACAUGUGCGAGGUUCCGAGCCCUCAGACCAGUACUGGGCUUCAUGUAUUACUAGUCUGCAAAGAAAGUACAGUGUAUAAUUAAGAACAAAAGUUGUUAUAAUUAAAGAACUUUACUGGGUAUUAGAAUCUAUUUUUGCAGCAAUUACAGUGAACUUAGUGCAGCGUGGGCUGAUUUCUCUAAUCACAAUAGCAUACAGACCAAAUUAAGUAAAGCUCGGUUGGUUUCUUUUUCCUAUGCAGCCAAAUU